AACCCAAAGGACUUGGCGGUGCCUCAAACCCACCUAGAGGAGCCUGUCCUAUAACCGAUAACCCCCGUUCAACCUCACCCCCCCUUGCCUAUUCAGCCUAUAUACCGCCGUCGUCAGCUUACCUUCUGAGAGCACAAAAGUAAGCCCAAUGAGUACUACUCAAAACGUCAGGUCGAGGUGUAGCCGAUGGAGGGGAAAGAGAUGGGCUACAUUUUC
rnacentral:rRNA from 1 species